UACGUAGGGUCCGAGCGUUGUCCGGAAUUAUUGGGCGUAAAGCGCGCGCAGGCGGCCUUUUAAGUCUGAUGUGAAAUCUUGCGGCUCAACCGCAAGCGGUCAUUGGAAACUGGAGGGCUUGAGUACAGAAGAGGAGAGUGGAAUUCCACGUGUAGCGGUGAAAUGCGUAGAUAUGUAGAGGAACACCAGUGGCGAAGGCGACUCUCUGGUCUGUAACUGACGCUGAGGCGCGAAAGCGUGGGGAGCAAACAGG
rnacentral:rRNA from 1 species